rnacentral:rRNA from 1 species
UACGUAGGAUGCAAGCGUUGUCCGGAUUUACUGGGCGUAAAGCGCGCGCAGGCGGCACUCUAAGUACGUCGUGAAAUAUCCCGGCUCAACCGGGAGGGUGCGAUGUAGACUAGGGAGCUAGAGGUCGGUAGAGGGUCGUGGAAUUCCCGGUGUAGCGGUGAAAUGCGUAGAGAUCGGGAGGAACACCAGAGGCGAAGGCGGCGACCUGGACAGGUACUGACACUCAACUACGAAAGCGUGGGGAGCAAACAGG